rnacentral:rRNA from 1 species
UACGUAGGGAGCAAGCGUUGUCCGGAAUCAUUGGGCGUAAAGCGCGCGUAGGCGGCCCGGUAAGUCCGCUCUGAAAGUCCAGGGCUUAACCCUGGAAAGCGGGUGGAUACUGCCGGGCUAGAAUCCGGAAGAGGCGAGUGGAAUUCCUGGUGUAGCGGUGGAAUGCGCAGAUAUCAGGAAGAACACCCGUGGCUAAGGCGGCUCUCUAGUACGGUACUGACGCUGAGACGCGAAAGCGUGGGGAGCGAACAGG